rnacentral:rRNA from 1 species
CCUACGGGAGGCAGCAGUGGGGAAUAUUGGGCAAUGGGCGCAAGCCUGACCCAGCAACGCCGCGUGAAGGAAGAAGGCUUUCGGGUUGUAAACUUCUUUUCUCAGGGACGAAGAAAGUGACGGUACCUGAGGAAUAAGCCACGGCUAACUACGUGCCAGCAGCCGCGGUAAUACGUAGGUGGCAAGCGUUAUCCGGAUUUAUUGGGUGUAAAGGGCGUGUAGGCGGGAGCGCAAGUCAGAUGUGAAAACUCAGGGCUCAACCCUGAGCCUGCAUUUGAAACGGUGUUUCUUGAGUGCUGGGGAGGCAAUCGGAAUGCCGGGGGUAGCGGUGAAAUGCGUAGAUAUACGGAGGAACACCAGUGGCGAAGGCGGAUUGCUGGACAGUAACUGACGCUGAGGCGCGAAAGCGUGGGGAGCAAACAGGAUUAGAUACCCGGGUAGUC